GAUCCUGGCUCAGAUUGAACGCUGGCGGCAUGCUUUACACAUGCAAGUCGAACGGCAGCGGGGGCUUCGGCCUGCCGGCGAGUGGCGAACGGGUGAGUAAUGCAUCGGAACGUGCCCAUGUCGUGGGGGAUAACGUAUCGAAAGGUACGCUAAUACCGCAUACGUCCUGAGGGAGAAAGCGGGGGAUCGCAAGACCUCGCGCGAUUGGAGCGGCCGAUGUCGGAUUAGCUAGUAGGUGAGGUAAAGGCUCACCUAGGCGACGAUCCGUAGCGGGUCUGAGAGGAUGAUCCGCCACACUGGGACUGAGACACGGCCCAGACUCCUACGGGAGGCAGCAGUGGGGAAUUUUGGACAAUGGGGGCAACCCUGAUCCAGCCAUGCCGCGUGAGUGAAGAAGGCCUUCGGGUUGUAAAGCUCUUUCGGCCGGGAAGAAAUCGUGUUCUCUAACAUAGGACAUGGAUGACGGUACCGGACUAAGAAGCACCGGCUAACUAC
rnacentral:rRNA from 1 species